rnacentral:rRNA from 1 species
GACGAACGCUGGCGGCGUGCUUAACACAUGCAAGUCGAACGGUGAAGGGACCGGUUUUUGCUGGUUCUGGAUGAGUGGCGAACGGGUGAGUAACACGUGAGUAACCUGCCCCCUUCUUCUGGAUAACCGCAUGAAAGUGUGGCUAAUACGGGAUAUUCUGCGCCUGCUGCAUGGUGGGUGUGGGUAAGAUGUUGUUUCGGUGGGGGGUGGGCUCGCGGCCUAUCAGCUUGUUGGUGGGUUGAUGGCCUACCAAGGCGGUGGCGGGUAGCCGGCCUGAGAGGGUGGACGGUCACACUGGGACUGAGGCACGGCCCGGACUCCUACGGGGGGCAGCAGUGGGGAAUAUGGCGCAAUGGGGGCAAGUCUGAUGCAGCGGCGCCGCGGGAGGGAUGGAGGCCUUCGGGUUGUAAACCUCUUUCGCCAGUGAAGCAGGCCUGUCCCUUUUGUGGGUGGGUUGACGGUAGCUGGAUAAGAAGCGCCGGCUAACUACGUG